UCCAGCCAUGGAUAGCUCAGUCCAGCAAUUAAGCCAGGAGUUUAUUUAUGUGGUUCUGAGAUCAUCAGCCUUAAUCUACCGUACCCAACGAAUCCCACAAGGAAUGGAGUACCGUACAUUAAAAGCAUAAACCAGAGACACCAACAUUCAGAAGGAAACUAAAUCCUGACCCCUUUCCUAAAUUAUGCAGCUGAAAUAAUUGGCUGAACUUUUACCUGAAGGCAUGUUCUGCCACUGCUCAUGAAGAAUUUACAACCUGUGAAUAAGCAACCUGUAGCUGUUGCAAGAAAACUAUAGUCAAAAAGGUACAUCAUGAAAUACAGCAAAAAGCACAAUCCAGUCAUCAAUAAAAAGUUAGGAAGUCCACAUGUCUAAAGAUCACCUAUGAUAACGAACAGCAGUUGCACGAAGCAUUCAUACUGAUCCACAGA